UAAUAUUAAUUGUGAUGAUAUUUUUGUAGGAAUCUCAUUGAAUUCCGUUUAACGUUAUAGUGAAAUCAAUUUAAUUACUGAAAUAACUAGAUAGAC